UACGGAGGGUGCGAGCGUUGUCCGGAAUCACUGGGCGUAAAGGGCGCGUAGGCGGCCUGAUAAGUAGGGGGUGAAAUCCUGCGGCUUAACCGCAGGGCUGCCUUCUAAACUGUCAGGCUUGAGCACAGUAGAGGCAGGUGGAAUUCCCGGUGUAGCGGUGGAAUGCGUAGAGAUCGGGAAGAACAUCAGUGGCGAAGGCGGCCUGCUGGGCUGUUGCUGACGCUGAGGCGCGAAAGCCAGGGGAGCAAACGGG
rnacentral:rRNA from 1 species